UGGUUUCACCUGUGCCUUGUUUCCCUUUGGCUUCUCCCUGAGUACAUCAUCCUGUUUCUCUCUCCCUCAGAUGAAGUGUGCUGUUCCCCAUUUCCGACGUUUUAUCCUGCAUCCUACUUGUAUCCCCCUUGUUCCAUGCAUUUUUUGAGCUUUUUUUGUUUUUUCCUCCCCCUGGAUUUCUUUUCCUUGUGCUGUUUUUGUCUUUUGUACAGAGAGCAUUUUGGAAUCAUCCUUCUUGACAGUAUCUUUCUGCUACCUACUACAAUGAAACUACAGCUCAUGAAGAGAACAGACGCAGAUGGUGGAGGUUUUGAAGGUUCCCCUAGACUGGCGAGUCGUCACGGUGGCUUUGCUUCACUACUGUGACCCAGACAGGCUGCAGUGAGCGUUCAACCCGACAACUGGACUAACAGGACACUUUGAGAGUCGUCGCUUCAUCAUCAGUUCAUCGUCGCAGUCUAGUCGUGUGACUUUUAGCGUUGAUGUUUUCCUGAAUGGAAGAUUUGUCUUUGAUUUGUUUGUUGAUUUAGUACUAGUUGAAUAGUAGUAAUCGCAUUUGUGUUGUUUUAAAAAUGGUGCAUUUAACAGCAAAUUCAUAAAAGUUGCCAUUCCUUGGAUCAGUGAGUUUUAAUACAAGAUAACUAUCGCUUAAAAUAUUGAGAUUUUUUCGUAUUUUUUUUCCCCCUCCACGUUUCGAGAUCUUGUCAGAAGACUGAAAGCUGAAGUAUUUUAACAUUCUACUUUAACUAGACUUGUAUCUCUUGGCAAAUCUACUUAAUGUUCAUCAGCAUUGUAUGAGUUGUUUGUAGUUUUAUUUUUAAGUGGCCUUUUCUGUGAAUUCUAACAUUGAUGGCCAGUGAUUGACCAUCAAUGUUGUUUGAUUGAAAUUCAUUGUAAUGUGAGCUAUACCUUGUUAUGAGGAUUUAUUUUCAACAAAAGUACAUUGAACACAAAAAGAUGGAAACUAUAAAUUGUGUCCGCGUGGGCCCAGAGAGCUGCACCAGUUGUUGCUGGAUUGGCACCAGCCUCUUACAUUUGUGUCCAAACCAAAAAUACAAUCAUGCCACGGUGCCAGAGAUGAACCCGGUGCUCCCUCAUCACGUUGACCAGCUUGAUGUUGCUGACCUCCCCCAUGUCGGUGCUGCCAAAGCGGAGGAUGAGGACAUUCAGUGCUUUUCUUUCUUUAAAGGACUGGAAAUCGGAGGGAGAAAGCUUUUAACCACAGUCCACACCAAACAACAGAGACAUCCAGGAUGCAGAGGUUGCUUUAUUCACACUGUAACUAUGGGAGAAAAAUGAGAGUAAAGGAAAUGCUCACAAUAACAAUGAAUAUAAAUUUGGAAGUACUAAUGUGCUCAAA